rnacentral:rRNA from 1 species
UACGUAGGUGGCGAGCGUUGUCCGGAUUUAUUGGGCGUAAAGCGAGCGCAGGUGGUUUAUUAAGUCUGGUGUAAAAGGCAGUGGCUCAACCAUUGUAUGCAUUGGAAACUGGUAGACUUGAGUGCAGGAGAGGAGAGUGGAAUUCCAUGUGUAGCGGUGAAAUGCGUAGAUAUAUGGAGGAACACCAGUGGCGAAGGCGGCUUCCUGGUCUGCAACUGACACUGAGGCGCGAAAGCGUGGGGAGCAAACAGG